GAUGAACGCUGGCGGCGUGCCUAAUACAUGCAAGUCGAGCGAACGGACGAGAAGCUUGCUUCUCUGAUGUUAGCGGCGGACGGGUGGGUAACACGUGGAUAACCUACCUAUAAGACUGGGAUAACUUCGGGAAACCGGAGCUAAUACCGGAUAAUAUUUCGAACCGCAUGAUUCAAAAGUGAAAGACGGUCUUGCUGUCACUUAUAGAUGGAUCCGCGCUGCAUUAGCUAGUUGGUAAGGUAACGGCUUACCAAGGCAACGAUGCAUAGCCGACCUGAGAGGGUGAUCGGCCACACUGGAACUGAGACACGGUCCAGACUCCUACGGGAGGCAGCAGUAGGGAAUCUUCCGCAAUGGGCGAAAGCCUGACGGAGCAACGCCGCGUGAGUGAUGAAGGUCUUCGGAUCGUAAAACUCUGUUAUUAGGGAAGAACAUAUGUGUAAGUAACUGUGCACAUCUUGACGGUACCUAAUCAGAAAGCCACGGCUAACUACGUGCCAGCAGCCGCGGUAAUACGUAGGUGGCAAGCGUUAUCCGGAAUUAUUGGGCGUAAAGCGCGCGUAGGCGGUUUUUUAAGUCUGAUGUGAAAGCCCACGGCUCAACCGUGGAGGGUCAUUGGAAACUGGAAAACUUGAGUGCAGAAGAGGAAAGUGGAAUUCCAUGUGUAGCGGUGAAAUGCGCAGAGAUAUGGAGGAACACCAGUGGCGAAGGCGACUUUCUGGUCUGUAACUGACGCUGAUGUGCGAAAGCGUGGGGAUCAAACAGGAUUAGAUACCCUGGUAGUCCACGCCGUAAACGAUGAGUGCUAAGUGUUAGGGGGUUUCCGCCCCUUAGUGCUGCAGCUAACGCAUUAAGCACUCCGCCUGGGGAGUACGACCGCAAGGUUGAAACUCAAAGGAAUUGACGGGGACCCGCACAAGCGGUGGAGCAUGUGGUUUAAUUCGAAGCAACGCGAAGAACCUUACCAAAUCUUGACAUCCUUUGACAACUCUAGAGAUAGAGCCUUCCCCUUCGGGGGACAAAGUGACAGGUGGUGCAUGGUUGUCGUCAGCUCGUGUCGUGAGAUGUUGGGUUAAGUCCCGCAACGAGCGCAACCCUUAAGCUUAGUUGCCAUCAUUAAGUUGGGCACUCUAAGUUGACUGCCGGUGACAAACCGGAGGAAGGUGGGGAUGACGUCAAAUCAUCAUGCCCCUUAUGAUUUGGGCUACACACGUGCUACAAUGGACAAUACAAAGGGCAGCGAAACCGCGAGGUCAAGCAAAUCCCAUAAAGUUGUUCUCAGUUCGGAUUGUAGUCUGCAACUCGACUACAUGAAGCUGGAAUCGCUAGUAAUCGUAGAUCAGCAUGCUACGGUGAAUACGUUCCCGGGUCU
rnacentral:rRNA from 1 species